rnacentral:lncRNA from 1 species
UUUUUUUUUUUUUUUGGUCUUUUUGUCUUUGUUGUUGUUGUUGUUGUUGCUAUUUCUUGGGCCGCUCCCGUGGCAUAUGGAGGUUCCCAGGCUAGGGGUCGAAUCGGAGCUGUAGCCUCUGGUCUACGCCAGAGCCACAGCAACGCGGGAUCCGAGCCGUGUCUGCAACCUACACCACAGCUCACGGCAACGCCGGAUCGUUAACCCACUGAGCAAGGGCAGGGACCGAACCCGCAACCUCAUGGUUCCUAGUCGGAUUCGUUAACCACUGCGCCACGACGGGAACUCCCAGAUUUUUUUUUUUUUUUAAUGGCUGCACUUGUGGCAUAUUCCCAGGCUAGGGUUGAAUCAGAGCUGCAGCUGCUGGCCUACACCACAGCAAUGUCAGAUCGGAGCCACAUCUGAGACCUAUGCCACAGCUCAUGGCAAUGCCAGAUUCUUCAACACACGGAGCAAGGCCAGGUAUCGAACCUGCGUCCUCUUGGAUACUAGUCUGGUUCAUUACUGCUGAGCCGCAAUGGGAACUCCCUAGAUUACCUUUUUUUUAGCGUGUUGGUGGGAGGUGAUCUCCAUGUCCCACUCUUCCACUGUCUUGAUCUCGCCUCAAUUAUGUUUUUAUUAUUUCUUUACCUACUUUUAUGCUCUAAUUAUUGCAUAUCAAAAAUUAUAAUAAAAAUAUGUUCAUCAAUACUUUACAGGAACUUUUAGUCUUUAGAUAAGGUUUGUUACACAAUUAUUUAUCUUUUGUGUAUUUAAUAUUACUAUUAUUAGCCACGUGCAUGGCUUAUGGAAGUUCCCAGGCUAGGGACUGAAUUAGAGGCACAGCUCUGACUUACAGCAGAGCUGUGACAAUGCUGGAUCCUUAACCCACUGUGCUGGGCUGGGGAUUGACCCUGCGCCUCAGCAGCAACCAGAGCCACCACAGAGACAACCCUGGAUACUUAACCAGCCACACCACGGUGGGGAUGAUGUUUUGUGUAGUUUUGUUUUGUUUUGUUUGCCCCCCAGCAUAUGGACUUAGAUGGAUCCUUUAACCCACUGUGCCAGGUUGGGGAUCAAACCUGCAUCCUGGUGCUGCAGAGGUGCUGCUGAUCCUGUUGAGCCACAUGGCUUGGAUCAGCAAGGGUCUGCACCUGGGACUGGCACAGUGGGUUAAAGGAUCCAGCAUUGCAGCAGCUGCCACAUGCUUCAGCUGUGGCUUGGAAUUGAUCCCUGGUCUAGGAACCUCCAUAUGCCUCAGGUGUGGCCAUAAAAAAAGUGUUGGAGUUCCUGCAGUGGCUCAAUAGGAUUGGCCGUGUGUGUCUGAAGCACUAGGAUGCCAGUUCAAUCCCUGGCGCAGUAGGUUGAUGACUUGGCGUUGCUGCAGUCGUGGUGUAGGUCGCAGCUGUGGCUCAGAUCUGAUCCCUGGCCCAGGAACUCCAUGUGCCACGGGGUGGCCGUAAAAGAAAAAAAAUGUUGAUCAACAUUUUCUAGGCACUUUUAUUCCUUAAAUUUUUUUUCAUCAGAGAAUUAUUUAUCUUUUGUGUAUUUCAUUAUUACUAUCACUGUGAGGUAAUCAGCUGUUCAUGUUUUGGGAGAGGGUCUUUCAGAUAUAAAUACAAGCAUUCAAGCACUUCAGUAAAUACAUGCACAUCUUUUCAAGUUAGUGUUUUCAUCUCCUCCAAAUGAAUACCUAGAAGCAGAAUUGCUGGAUCAUGUUAGCGCUGUUUUUAAUUUUCUGAGGACCCUCCAUGCCAUUUUUUAUACUGGCUGUACCAACAGUACACAAACGUUCCCUUUUUCCAGAUCCCUGCCAACCCUGUUAACAGUUAUUUUUGUCUUUUUGGUAACAGCCAUUCCAGCCAGUGUGAGGUGACACCUCGUUGAGGCUUGGAUUUCUGUUUACCUGAUUAGUGGUGGUGAAUACCAUUUCAUGUACCUGCAGCUGUGUCUUCCUUGGAAAAAUGUCUUAUUCAGAACCCUGUCCAUUUCUAACUGUUUUGGUUUUUUGCUACUGAGUUACAUGAGUUCUUUACAUAUUUUGGAUCUUAAUCCCUUAUGAGACAUAUAGUUUGCAAAUAUUUGUUGAUCAAUAUUUUCUAGGCACUUCAACUCCUUAGAUUAAGUUUUUGUCAGAGAAUUAUUUUUUUGUGUAUUUUAUUAUUUUUUUGGCUGCGCCUGCAGCACAUGGAAGUUCCCAGGCCAGGGAUCAAACUCAAGCCACAGCUGUGACAACACUACAUUCUUUAACCCACUGAGCCAGGCCAGAUAUCGAACCUGGGCCUCAGCAGUGACCUGAGC